GGCUACUAUUAAAAAAUAUAAAAUAGUAAGUGUUGUCAAAGUACGUAGAGAAACUAGAAUGCUUGUACACUGGUGGUGGGAAUGUAAAAUGGUACAGCUGCCAGUGCAAUGCGCAAUCACGGCUCACUGCAAUCCCCACCUCCCAGGCUCAAGCGAUUCUCCUGCCUCAGCCUCCUGAGUAGCUGGGAUUAUAGGCGUGCACCACCAUGUCCAGCUAAUUUUGUAUUUUUAUUAGAGACGGGGGUUUCACCAUGUUGGUCAGGCUGGUCUCGAACUCCUGACCUCAGGUGAUCCACCCACCUCAGCCUCCCAAAGUGCUGGGAUUACAGGU
rnacentral:lncRNA from 1 species